rnacentral:lncRNA from 1 species
CUUUGAAGGAUUCCUGAAAUAUUCUGGAAACGUUAAGAAAUGGAAAUAUACAAAAGAAUUACAAAAUCUGAGACCGAAUGUAGAAAUUUCAGAAUGACCAUCAAAGUUAAAAAUCAGAAAGCACUUGAGCUGGGAGGAACCACAGAUUUCUUCUAUAUAUCAAAGUAGAAAUAGACUAUGAGACUUUAUUAUCCUAUAUGGUCUCCCCUCUUCUGAGAAAUUUUUUCUGCUAUGCAUUCCACCCUCCCAAAUGGGGCAUCAGUUUCAUUUAUUCAUACUUCAAUGGUAUCAUAAUACUUGAUCGAUCCAUUUCCCUUCAUUAUUCUUUAGUUCCUCAAGAUCAAAGAAUAUUUUUGUUUAUCUAAAUCAUGCUUUAGGUAAUCAAUAUUUCCUAAUUAUCUGGACAUUGAGGCAGAAUCAAGGAAAUUCUCACUUACUCUGAAGGCUGUAAUGCACCUUCUAGAAUAAUGGCCACCAGGGUGCUAAUUGGAAUCCAGAGAAACUUGGUCCCCCAUAGAUAGUAUAUUUUAUAUCAACCUCGGACAAAAUCUGACUUUCCUUCUUAUAUAUUUCCAGUGGAAGCAAGCAGUCUCUUCAACUGUUCUUGGAAAAGUGAUCGUUCAACCGGAUCAGAAUUUUGCAGGAUUGAUCAUUGGUGCGGUCUCAAUAUCAGUAGUAGUUUUGUUAUUAUCCGGGCUCUUCCUGUGGAUGAGAAAGAGAAAGCAUAAAGGUGCAUAUUUUGUUUAUUGUCUAAGAAGCUACCAUAGUGAUUUAGUGAUUACAUUCAACACUGUCAUGGAGAUAUAUGGGUUGUCUAAUAAGCAUUCAUAAAAGGCUGUGAGUUCUGGGCACUGGGUCAAAGUCUCCUGGGACCUGUGACAGCAAAGUCUUUAACAAGCUCUCUCUUUCUCUCUGUUUUAAGAUCUGGGCAGUGAAUUAGUUCGCUAUGACGCAAGAGUACACACUCCUCAUUUGGAUAGGCUUGUAAGUGCCCGAAGUGUAAGUCCAACUACAGAGAUGGUUUCAAAUGAGUCUGUAGACUACAGAGCUACUUUUCCAGAAGGUAUAAUUCAGUUUACUAUCCUGAGAAAUAUCUAUACAUAGACCUCUGUGAGCUGUGGCAUUGUUCUUGCUUUUUGCUUUUUGUCCUGAUAUUUUUAUACAAGUAGGAAAAAAAAAGGUGUUGACCUCUGCUAAACUUGAUGCAGAAUUGCAUGGCCUUCACUUUAAAAUCAAACUCAUGCAGGUAUCAUAUUGGAAUUUUAGCAUCUGCAAGCUCUCUGCUCACGUACAGACAGGUUCACUUUAGAAUUAUUUGAGCAAGGUAACUUACCUCAGCCAUUCUAAGACCUGAGAUGUUCUCCUUAACCCUUCAUUUAGACUUAUAAAGUAUUUUUAUUUCAAUGUAAUUUUAAAGUGCUAUCUUUUGGGGGAAACUUUUGAAUUAUGCCAUUAGUCAUCUUUAAAACAUUCUCAAUGAGCAUAUCUUUUGCCUAGCACCAUCUACAACUUGAAUAUAUUUUGAGAUGCAUCCAAGAAAAACCUCCAGCACUGCUAUUCAUCAACAGCAUCUGCUUUGCAAAACACCAGACCGACAAAUGGUCAGGUUGGCCAGGGCAUUUCACAUUGUUUUACUUAAACAUGUCUUACACAAAGCAAAAUGUCUGUAUUGUACCAGGGCCAUUAUCUUUAGAAGUUACAGGACAUGAGUCAAGUACAAGCACUUCCCUGUUGAAAUAUCUACCAUUGGAUAAAUAAAGUGAGUCACAGACAGUGUGGAUACUGAGAAGUUAGAAGCUGCUCAUCCAAGCCAGUACACCAGCAGUGAGACACUGAACAUUCCAAGUUUCUCACCGCUUGUUGCCUGCCCUUCCUG